GCAGCCCAGGUCUUAACCUGAAUCAGGAUGAGGGGAUGGUGGGUCAAGGUGGGUCUGUUGAAAGUGCCCCUGCUUGCCACAUACCUGCACAUCCCACCCCCUCAGCUCUCCCUUGCCCUUCACUCAUGGCAGUCUUCAGGCAAGUUUUUCACUUAUAAGGGAUGGCCUAUCUUCUACCAAGACUCUGUGGAUGUGGUUGGAAGUCCAGAGAUAGUUGUUCUUUUACAUGGCUUUCCAACAUCCAGCUAUGAUUGGUACAAGAUGUGGGAAAGUCUGACCUUGAGAUUUCAUUGAGUGAUUGUCCUUGAUUUCUUAGGCUUUGGCUUCAGUAACAAACUGAGACCAUAUCACUAUUCCAUAUUUGAGCAGGCCAGCAUCCUGGAAGCGCUUUUGUGGCAUCUGUCUGUCAACUGGAGAUAUCUUUUCUGAGACUCACUGUCUACUCCUUCUUCAAAAGCUACUCAAACAUGGAGGUGUGCUGUCACCCAUCCUCACGCGGCUGAUGAACUUCUUUGUAUUCUCUCGAGGUCUCACGCCAGUCUUUGGGCCAUAUACUCAGCCCUCUGAAAAUAAGCUGUGGGACAUGUGGAAAGGGGUCCGCAAUAAUGACAGGAAUUCGUCUCUGACAGUCUCUUAGAGUACAUCAAUCAGAGGAGGCAGUUUAGAAAGCACUAGGUGGGAGCUCUUGCCUCUGAAACUAUCUCCAUUCAUUGUUAUCUAUGGGCCAUUGGAUCCUGUAAAUCCCUACCCAGAGUUUUUGGAGCUGUACAGGAAAAUGCUGCUGCAGUCCACAGUGUCAAUUCUGGAUGACCGUAUUAGCCACUAUCCACAGCUAGAGGAUCCCAUGGGCUUCUCUAAUGCAUAUAUUGGCAUCACCAACUCCUUCUGA
rnacentral:lncRNA from 1 species